rnacentral:rRNA from 1 species
GAUGAACGCUAGCUACAGGCUUAACACAUGCAAGUCGAGGGGAAACGAUAUUGGAAGCUUGCUUCCGAUAGGCGUCGACCGGCGCACGGGUGAGUAACGCGUAUCCAACCUGCCCAUCACUUGGGGAUAACCUUGCGAAAGUAAGACUAAUACCCAAUGACGUCUCUAGAAGACAUCUGAAGGCGAUUAAAGAUUAUCGGUGAUGGAUGGGGAUGCGUCUGAUUAGCUUGUUGGCGGGGUAACGGCCCACCAAGGCGACGAUCAGUAGGGGUUCUGAGAGGAAGGUCCCCCACAUUGGAACUGAGACACGGUCCAAACUCCUACGGGAGGCAGCAGUGAGGAAUAUUGGUCAAUGGGCGAGAGCCUGAACCAGCCAAGUAGCGUGCAGGAAGACGGCCCUAUGGGUUGUAAACUGCUUUUAUAAGGGAAUAAAGUGGGAGUCGUGACUCCUUUUGCAUGUACCUUAUGAAUAAGGACCGGCUAAUUCCGUGCCAGCCGCCGCCGUAA